UCCUGAGGACACAGAAGCAGGGCACUGGUCAGCACAUCCCUUUGGGACUUUGCAGCACGCUCACACACAUGGAUCAAAACACUGAUGUGAGUGAUCAGAGUAUCACACCUUGGCAGACAAAAUGAAUGUGGCCUCCUCUCCUGGAAGCACCCAAGGGAAGGGAAAAAACCUGCUGAAACAGCAGCUCUGCUUUGGUGGGAAUAACUCAGGAUUCCUGCUAGACUGAUCCUCCCUGUGUGUUUGUGGCUGAACUCUACACACAUCUGCAAGGGCAGCAAGGCAGAGCUGAGAGCUCCUGGCCCCAGCAGUUGUCCAGGGGCAGCACAAAACCCUGCAGAGCGGGGAAGUGGCCAGUAUCUGCACUGCACAGCACCUCCUUCCCUUACCUGCUGGCUGCCUGAGGGGGAGCACGUGAAAAGGAGAAGAGGAAAGGUAAGGUGGCAGAUAAGCCUGCCCUAGAUGCAGGCUUCUAAAUGAAGGAGGUUGCAGUUGAAUCCUUGAAGACUGCAGAACAAAAUGCUUUCCACAGGCUGGCAGGGAGAGGCUGCCUGAGGGACCAGUGAAUUCCAGGCUCUACCAGAGGCAGAGAUAGGUGUGUGAGGACACUCAGCCAUGUUGCAGCCAGGUUUUUGCCGCCAUGUCUCACACUUACACUGCUUGCUCCUCCAGCUCCCCGCCAAUGCGCUGGGACAUGUUCUUCAGCACCCCGAUGCUGCCAGAGACCAGCUCCAACUGCUCAUCCUGCUGCUCCACAAUCAGCUGGGGCCAAAGAGAAGGGAAGCGGGCAAUUACAGAUCUGCUGCCUGCAGCUGGGUUGGAGCCAGCCCAUCCAGUGGACAGGCAUGCACUGCUCGGCUAAUAUCAGCUGUGAGGCCUGGGCUCAGACCUAAGCCACCAGGAAUGAGGACCGUGUUCCUAAGAAAUGCCAGAGAGGUGACAACCAGAGGAAAGCCUCCAUGACAUGGCACAGCAGGCUGCAGCCUCCAGACAUCCCUGCAAAUCCAGCUCAUCCGUGCUGCAUGCACAGCUAACGUGACUUUGGAAAGCUCCAAGGGCUGGUCAUUGAAACCUUGGGAAGGUAAGCAGGUAUGGCCAGGGAGGCACAAUGAUGCUGUGCCUAGGAAAUGACAUCUGGAAUGUGCUGCAGCUAACAUGGGGUUAAACGCAAGCUGUUGCAGCUUCUACAGGUAAAAAUAGCCAGCCUGGCUCCAAAUGGGCCAAAUGGGCCAACAGUCUGCUGCUGUUUUAAGUCAUUUUCAGGGCACAGUCACGCUAAGAAUUAGCUUUACCCUAGUUACCUAUUUCUGAAGCUAUUUAUCUCCCUGGAGUCAGUAGGUAAAACGUGUCUGGAAGCCGAGGUGACAUCACGGCUCGGGAGCUUUAGCAGAGUUUGCCACCUCCGAGUCACUGCCUGUAGUUCUCCAGUCUGUGCCUGGCCUGGGCACUUCUCCAGGCAAACUCCCCUGUCAGCUGGGAAGUGCAGCUGGGAAGUGCCUCACCAGGAGUUCUCCCAAGCCCUCACACAGGCUUUCUCACUAAUCUCAUGGUGACAAAGGCAGGAAAAGGAAGCAGGCGCGUGCUCCUGUUCCCAGCCUGUUCUGGUGGGAGAUGCACACAAACAGCAAACAUUUUUUAACCAGGGGAAGUUACAUAAGAGAAACGGGCCCUUUUCUUUUUGCAGUGUUUCUACUCCUCCAAGGAUUUCAGCAAUCCUUGUACUAUUAGAGCUUAGUGUGCUACAUCUUCCAGAUUGUGCCGACUGCCUCCUGAACACAGCAGAAGCCCCACGCCUCCAGGGUUAAAAACUUUGUGCCAAGAUCAUCCAAAGCUGUGCUGCCCAGGAAAUGCAUGCACAGAUACAUGCCACAAGCAAAGAGGAGGACUGUCAGGCUCCUGGAGCCAGACUCCAGUCCCCCUGGCACCCAUUUGGCAAGCAAGCUAUUUAGUCUGCGUGGUGCCAGCUGCCUUACCUGUUGUUGAGCUUGCUGCUCCUCGAUGAAGUGUGAAUUUGCUAAUUGCAGAUCCCGGUCCAGACGGCUGUAUUUGUCAGGUCCAGAGCUCCAACUCUGACUCCCACUCUCUCCCAGGAGUGCCUGAACAGAUGCAGAGAGCUCUUAGCAACACCCUUGUGUCUGCUCACAGCCCGUCUACAGGGUGAGGUGGGAAGGCAGACAAGGCAACACUCGUGUACACAUGCACACAGCAUCCCUUUCCUCCUGCUCUGUCGCUACUCAGCCAAAGUGCUGUCAGGAACUAAACCAACACAGAGCCAAAAUGCCAGCCUGGGAAGUCUCUGCAGCCUGGGAUUGCAGAUAUGCCUCUCCAGCAGCAGGAGAGCUGGAGUGCAGCCGACAGUGCGUGCAGGAGGCCUGCGCAGCACAAAGGACUGGCAGAGGCCUGCUCAAGAGGCAGCACUGUGUGCUAGGACGUGUGAGCUGGGAAGUGUCCGGAUAUAUCGUGUUAACAGAUGUACAGCUCGAACUGAGCACUCUGCUGCUAAUGACAGGGGCUUAAGAGGGUCUGGAUAAAGUACUUAACCAGUUGAGCUGACAGUAAAAUAAUGCAAUAUAUAACCAGAGCAGUGCUGUAUGCUUAUGUUCUAUGAUCCAGGCUGCCUAUCCCUCCAGCAGACUCUUCAGCUGCCAGCACACAAAGUUACUCUUGCUACCUGCCCCAUGACCUGAACAAAGAAGCUUGUGCAAAGCCUGCAGAGAUGUGGCUUUCCAGCCAGAUAUGUCUGGUCCCUGAAAAGGGGAAUAAUCCAAGCUACAGACGCUGGAGAAUGAACAAGACCUGCAGGUGAGGAACUGCACCCUGCAGCACUAGGGACAGGUUAGGGACGCUGCCCUCCAGUGUGGAAGCCAGGCUGACUUGUAACGAGACCAUUCCGCAGCUCCUGGUUGUGGGCAGGAGGGAACAACUGAGUAUUUGUGAAGAACAGCAAGACAAUGACCAGGCUGCUCUAUCAGGCUGAAAACAAGACGGUCUCCACGGUUCAUCUGACUUAUAAGGUUCAAGGAGGGGUGAGGAAAGCUGACAGACUGAUCAUGCAGGAAGCCAGCAGGACAUCUGGCUUUGCCCCCAAGACACUGAGCAAGCUCCUGGUCCCUCCGGUUUGUGGCAAGGGCAGCUCCUUUUUAUUUAAUGCAGCGCACUAGCUUUGCCUGCAGCUUCAAUAGAAAGGGCCUGUUUGCCAGCCUGGACUGUGAGGGUCAGGUCACCGCUAGCCAGCCCCUCAAACACAAAACCCAGCACAAGCCUUGCAGUCUGGAAGGAAGGCGAGGGGCUGGGAAGGGAGAGGAAGGCAGCAAGGGGAAGUCAGUUUUCCUGACCAGAUGUCGCUGCCUGAGCUGGGCCAUAUGGUCUCCUGCAGCUAUCAGGAACCUCAUGCAAAGGAAAGCACCAAACUGCAUGGAAAGCUAUGGACUUGUUUGAGCAAGGGUGUCAGGGACUUCGCUGCUAUGAGUAUUUGCCAAGCACGUCAAUUAACCCUGUGACAAGCUCAGGAAUGAGCUCUGUGCUUCUCAGUUUGUUGUUUUUGCCACAUGUGGUAAGGCUGAUGCAGUACAGACAAUUAACUGUAUGAAGCACACACCAACGUUUACUGGAGUGGCUCUGGAAGUCAGCUCCAGUAUCUCCUUUUAGUGUCCCCAUCAGCUGGGAAGGAGCACAAGCUGCAUCUAUUUCUAUUCCUUAGAUUACAAGUGCAGAUAACACGAGACUCCUUGAGCUUCUUCCAUCUUCUUACAUGGCUAUUACGAGAAGCAGCUGUGUGAAAGGAUAUUGCACCAUCUUGGCUCCUAAAUCCAGCAGAGCGCAGGAUUACAUUCACUGACACGGAUUCUGAGCCGGUUCCCCCCGAGGAGGAGGGAGAUUUCCCUUUCCAUGGGAUGAUGCAAUGCUGACAGUUGUACACAACCAGCUCUGAAGACAGAGACAGAUGGUGAGUGCUGACUUACUGCUCUGAGAGACAGGCUUGGGAGAGGCUGGCAGCAACGUGUCUGGGAGAACCAGCUCUCCCAGGGCAGCCAAAUGGACAUGGCUCAAACACAGCUUGGCUGCAGCGUGCAAGCCCCUUCCCAUACCAGAGGUUUGUAAGGGAAUGAACUCGAGACAGGAUAUACAUUGUAGCAGAUAUACAUUGCCCGUUUCUGGUUCUCACCUGCCUGUUUUUUCUUUCAGCCAGUGCUUGCAUGGAGGAGUUUGACAUCUGAUCCUUCAUGUCCUGUUUGUUCAACGAAAGAAGCAGCAUGUGAGCAUUGGAUUUGAGGUGACAGGGAGAUUCAGGAUGCUACAGGGCUGUCUAUACCCAACAAGGCUUCUACAAGGAGGAGUGAAGGAAGGGAGAUGUUCUUUGAAAACCCACACUGAAAGAGUCUGGAAAGUUACUGUAGAAAGUUUCAAUGCAGUUAACUGUUAUACUAAUACUGGAAUCAACAGCAAUGGGACAUUUUGAAAACAUUCUUCAUUUACUACUCAUUUUGCUCCACUACAACCAGAAACACUUCGAUUUGUAUAAUAAACCGAUGUUCCUGUUGA